GUUCAUUUGCGGAUGAGAACAUUCAAAUAGGCUGAAGAGCUCACACUUCUGAUCAAAACAACUUCUAAUAUGAAGAUAAGCCAGCUGAUGAGACAGAAGGAGCUGGAGAAAAGCUGUCAGCGAUCACAUCUAGAAAACGAAACGUUGGUGUGUAUACUCGUACGUCAAGGAAUUGAACAUUUUGCAGCGCCUGUCCCAUACGUACCAUUUGUCACUGUUUGGGCAAGGAGGCCUUGAGGAGGACAAGCAAAUAUUUGCCUCAGUUUCCUUGGAGGCUUUGACUCUGUCAGCGGUUUCUGAAGUUGCCUUGCACAAUUGUGCAACAGAGCGGUUUCUUCUGUUUGUGCAUUUCCAUCUGUACCUUUGCAGUCCAAGACAGUUACCUCCUGAGUUAAAAACAAUAAGCUUUCUCUGAA